CGGGCUCUGGGCGGCGAAGGGGGAGGAGGGCUCAUUGUCUGGUCCCCCCCAGCCGAAUUGAUAUGCUAAUCCCUUUUCUGAUGCCAUAACAAAGAACACCUUUGCACUUUUAAAAGACUUUUGUGCCCUGGCUACAGAAGUUUAUUAUCCACUAAUUAGCAACAACUUCUGGCAAUGAGUUGGGUUACAUUUUCAUAAGCUCCAAGCCCGGGCGACGAGGUGCGCAGGGCAGGAGGAGGUUUGCGCGAUGGCAACCCCCCCCCCAAAAAAAAACGGGGCUGGGAAGGAAUCGCCCGCUCAGGUUCCUGGGCGGAGGGCGGGAGGCAGGGAUCGGCAGCUUUGUUCUCCCCAUCCACUGAAAGCCUCUGCUUAGAAUAAACCGCGGGCGAGAGAGUGGCCCGUACAGAAGAAACACACCCGCCCCCCUGGGUUUCCUCUUAAGGCCUCCCCGCCAACAAGGCUGACAUUCCAGAACCCGGGAAGAUGAGGCAAAGCAGGCAUCGCCAGCGCCGCGGUGGGGGUGGAGAGGUUCUGGAUGAAGGACCCACCUGGGUCUUCUGAAGUCUUUACCCCACGGAGCAGAUCCUUCUGGCGAACCAGAGCUCAGAGCCGCACCUUCUCGGCGGCCGGAUGCGGCGCGCACCCGCGUGACCUUGCCUCCCUCAGGCUUUGGCAAGACGUUACGAUCUUUCACAGUCCCACAUCCCAGGUCAAUAAACUGGAAACGGAUAGAAUGAGCAUCAUCUGGUGAAAGAUAAAAGGGCAGGGGGACGAUGUGCAUUCCUUCUAGUGCCUCCAAAGGGAGGGAUGUGUCUCGCCGCUAAUAAAACACCUGAGCAGUGAGGCCUUGGGUCUGGGCUCAGCCGCAGA